UCUUGCUCUUGCUCUCUUGCCCUUCUGCCUUUUGCCAUGAGAUGACACCAGAUGCAGACCCCUCAACCUUGUACUCCUCAGUCUCCAGAACUAACAAAAUACUAAUUUUGACACAGAUAGGACUCAGGGAAGUCAUAUUCUUAAGGCGGUGGGAGAAGCAUGAAAUGCAUUUGCAGUGGCCUUGGGCCAUUGGUGGUGUCCGCAGGUGAGACAUCUCGAGUGCCUCAUGGACAAACUUCCUCAUGGAAUCCACUGGAGCAAUUAUGAGAGUCCACGGCCUCUCUUCUCUGGUUCUACCCUCUCCCAAUCUCUCACCUGUGCCGAUCACCUCAGUAAUUUGGAAACGGGCUAAGGAGGUCUCUCUUGGCACUGAGCUGUGACACCUUGGGGGAGAAAAAGUGCAGGACCAGAAAAUCUUUCUCUUCCAGUCAGUGUCAUUCAUUUAUGACCAGCGGUUGAAUCCAGUCAUAAAAUCUGAAGCUCCUGGGUACCUCUACAUCACUGGGCCUAUGAUACACUGUUUCAGAACGUACUUACACAUGGGGUGGGACGAUUUUCUUAACUAAUACUUGUGACUACUCCACAGCAAAGCUGGAAACAAAAGUAUUGGGUGAGCUAUCUUCCAAAAUCUGGAGAUGGUUUCGGAGAGAGUUUCAUUGCCAUAAAUUUAAAGGGGGAUUGGAUUUACUCAGGAAAAAUUACAAGUGAGCGUAGGAGAUAAACUAGUAAAUGCCAUAUUUGGCCCACCAGGCACAAAGAAGGGUUAUAAUUGGCUCCUUUAAGUCCUAUAUGCAGAUAUCAAAUCCCUAUACUUGCUCUUUAUUGCAUAGAAUAAAUUUACCUCACUCCUUACUUUGAAACAUGAAAUGAGGAUCAAAUUAUAGUUUCAAUUAUUGCAAAUAGUUGUACAAAUGAAAAGAUUGUCUUAUUGUGGGCAUUACACAAACCCACCAAGGAAUAAGUAAUCUUUAAAUUCUAUGAAGUGAUUUGUAAUCUGAUACAGUAAGAAAAAAAAAUCUCAGACUUUGAUUAAUUACCACCACGCUCACCGCUAUAUCACUGUCCAAUGUCAUCAUAAUUUCACUGCCACUUAAAACUACACUUCAGCCAUAGAAAGCCAAAAAAUUAGGCACUGGUGACCUGUCCAAAAGAAAAAAAAAAAAAAAGGAACAGGAAGUGGAGAAAUACCACCUCAUAAAUUUCACCCAACCACAUUUAACAGCCACCUGGAGUUCACACCAACUCACUUGGAUCUCCUAUGACGAAUAUGCCUCUAUCACAAUGUUGAGGCCACUGAGUUUCUCAUGUACUAAAAUUUGGCUUAAUGUGGUUACUCUUUCUCUCUGGGAGUUUUAAGAACAACUUCAUGGUCAUAAUAUUCUCUUUAAUAAAUAUGAUUCAUCUGAAUGUUAGAUUCCCGUUUAACUACCACAAUCUUCAGAAGAAAAGUUAUAGCUCUUACUGACUUCAGAAGCUGCUCUGGAUGACUUUAUAAUUUAUCAUCCAAAUGGAAGACGUUUGAGAGCGAAAGGAUACACUAAAAUAAUUAAAUGUAUACAAUUUUUGGAAAAUGUUUAUUGCUUAAAAAUAUUGUUUAUUGUAUGAAAUUUUGUAUAUUUAUAUUCAUGUGUCUGUAAAAACAAUUCUAUUCAAAAAUUACUUUAAAAAUUCUUUAAAGAUACAAAUAUAUUUGUAUACUUUAAAACAGGUUGAAAUAUUGAUUAUAUAAACUAUUAGAAAGUUACAUAAGCAGAAAGAAUAUUACCUGCACAUAUUUAUGUGCUUUAAUCUGCUCCUUAGCUGAAUCUGUCUCUAAUGUGUUUUUUAAAAAAUAUUUUUAAAUUAUUUUUAUUUUUCCUAUAAAAUUGUCUGAAAUAUUUGAAAUUUGAAAAUUAAAAUUCUUCAUUUAAAAAUUUGAAGUCACUGAUAUCCUUACUCACUAGACACAUCUUUGUAAAAGAACCAAAAAAAUAAAAUAUCUGUAAAUGUCCCAAGGGAACUGCUUAUCUCCAAAUAAAUUCUGCUAAAUGUGAUAUUAUCUCAAUUUCAAUUUAUUUUAAGCUGAAAUGCAUAAAUGUUUCAGCCCAAAUAUUUUCAUGGGCACUGCCUCUUUUGCCUCCAUGUAGCACAGCUUCUUCCAACAAAUUUUUUUUAAGACAACACUUGUCAAAAAAGUUGUAUCUAUUUAUAAUAUUUUUGAAAACUUCACCAAAUUAAAGCGCUGAAACAUUGUAGGCUUUGUCAAUUUUCUUUCAGUCUGAUACAAAAUACCAUUUAUCCAAUUAAAAUUAGGAAAUCAACAAAUUCUUUCCACAAGUCAGAUGUUCCAAAGCUGUUAUGUAAUUUCAAAACUAAAUGUUAGAGCCUCUUGUGAGCUCAUUCUGCAGUUCGUUCAGCUUCCCCUUGCUUUUGUAGAGAUAAAUGUUUUCCUGCCUGCAAGAUAUUGUCUUCAAUAUUUUCAGUUUGCAGAAAGCUUCAACCAGAAGUUGCUGUUUUUUCUUGCCACACCAUUUUUAAAUGCGUUGUUUAAAAAUUUUUCAGCCGAUUUUGCAUACAGUGCAACCAAAAGUUAGAUAACUCAUUUAUCAAAAUAUGAAUAUUAUUGUAGGACAUUAAGGUUGAUUUAGAAAGUAGUUAUUCAAAUGAUCAAACAUUCCUAAAAUCUUACUGAUGAGAGGCUGCAGAAAAAGCAUACCGUUAUGCUGGAGAUUUUUAAAUUCAAUAUUAGCUUUAUCACAAAAGUUUAAUUAUUCCAAUUGUGUAGAUAUAAAAAUAUUUAUGGAUUUUGACAUCUUUAGCUUCUAUUUCAAUUAGUAGAUUUUUUUAAUUAAACUUAAGUUCUGGGAUA
rnacentral:lncRNA from 1 species